rnacentral:rRNA from 1 species
AGAGUUUAAUCAUGGCUCAGGAUGAACGCUAGCGACAGGCCUAACACAUGCAAGUCGAGGGGCAGCGGAGAGGUAGCAAUACCUUUGCCGGCGACCGGCUCACGGGUGAGUAACACGUAUGCAAUCCACCUGUAACAGGGGGGAUAACCCGGAGAAAUCCGGACUAAUACCCCAUAAUAUGGGCGCUCCGCAUGGAGAGCCCAUUAAAGAGAGCAAUUUUGGUUACAGACGAGCAUGCGCUCCA